rnacentral:rRNA from 2 species
UACGAAGGGUGCUAGCGUUGUUCGGAAUCACUGGGCGUAAAGCGCGCGUAGGCGGCUUUUCAAGUCAGGGGUGAAAUGCCAAGGCUUAACCUUGGAACUGCCUUUGAAACUGUAAAGCUGGAGUGUCGGAGGGGAUAGCGGAAUUCCUAAUGUAGUGGUGAAAUACGUAGAUAUUAGGAGGAACACCGGUGGCGAAGGCGGCUAUCUGGACGACAACUGACGCUGAGGCGCGAAAGCGUGGGGAUCAAACAGG